AUUGAACGCUGGCGGCAGGCCUAACACAUGCAAGUCGAGCGGAUCGCCGGUCGGGUAAGUAAUGCUACUGAAUCUGCCAGUUAGUGGUGGAUAAGGUUCGGAACCGGGCGCUAAUACCGAUUCCUCUCAGAUGAGCCUAGGUCGGAUUAGCUAGGUGGGGGGGGAAAGGCCUACCAAGGCGACGAUCAGUAACCGGCCUGAGAGGAGGAUCAGUCACACUGGAACUGAGACACGGUCCAGACUCCUACGGGAGGCAGCAGUGGGGAAUAUUGCACAAUGGGCGAAAGCCUGAUCCAGCCAUGCCGCGUGUGUGAAGAAGGUCUUCGGAGUGUAAAGCACUGUAAGUUGGGAGGCGUUACCAGCAGAAUAAGCACCGGCUAACUUCGUGCCAGCAGCCGCGGUAAUUC
rnacentral:rRNA from 1 species